CAGUCGCCGCGGGAAUACGGAGGGUGCAAGCGUUAAUCGGAAUUACUGGGCGUAAAGCGCACGCAGGCGGUCUGACAAGUCAGAUGUGAAAUCCCCGGGCUUAACCUGGGAACUGCAUUUGAAACUGUCAGGCUGGAGUCUUGUAGAGGGGGGUGGAAUUCCAGGUGUAGCGGUGAAAUGCGUAGAGAUCUGGAGGAAUACCGGUGGCGAAGGCGGCCCCCUGGACAAAGACUGACGCUCAGGUGCGAAAGCGUGGGGAGCAAACAGGAUUAGAUACCCGGGUAGUCCCGUCUCUUAUACA
rnacentral:rRNA from 1 species